rnacentral:rRNA from 1 species
UAGGGAAUCUUCCACAAUGGACGCAAGUCUGAUGGAGCAACGCCGCGUGAGUGAAGAAGGUUUUCGGAUCGUAAAGCUCUGUUGUUGGUGAAGAAGGAUAGAGGUAGUAACUGGCCUUUAUUUGACGGUAAUCAACCAGAAAGUCACGGCUAACUACGUGCCAGCAGCCGCGGUAAUACGUAGGUGGCAAGCGUUGUCCGGAUUUAUUGGGCGUAAAGCGAGCGCAGGCGGAAGAAUAAGUCUGAUGUGAAAGCCCUCGUCUUAACCGAGGAACUGCAUCGGAAACUGUUUUUCUUGAGUGCAGAAGAGGAGAGUGGAACUCCAUGUGUAGCGGUGGAAUGCGUAGAUAUAUGGAAGAACACCAGUGGCGAAGGCGACUCUCUGGUCUGCAACUGACGCUGAGGCUCGAAAGCAUGGGUAGCGAACAGG